UUUUCAUCCACGUGAACGCAGUAGACAUUCUGAGGCAUGUAAAUAGCUCUGAAGAGCCUUGCAAAGGAAAGGGGUUUUGCCUUUGAAAAAGGAUGUGCAAACUUGAGUCAGCAGUAGAGUGUCUGAAUUAUUCAGCCUCUGGAAGCUCUGCUCUCCCCCAAAACUGAACACAUAGAGCACGAUAAAGAUGAUCACACAAGACACAGAGACUAUGAAGAGGCAACGCAUCGAAGACGACAUGCCUCAGAGAUGAGAGAGACUUCAAAGAUGGUGAAAAUUUUGUUUCACCAAAAAUGAGUGAAUGACUGAGUCAUGGGCCUCCUAGGAAAAUUCUUGCAGGGGACUCUUGAAGGAUGAUGCCCAACCAACUGAGCCACACUGACCUGGACAGCCCACAUCAUCUCUUCUUUAAGCAGACU